AACGAACGCUGGCGGCAUGCCUAACACAUGCAAGUCGAACGAAGUCUUCGGACUUAGUGGCGCACGGGUGCGUAACGCGUGGGAAUCUGCCCUUGGGUGCGGAAUAACUUCUCGAAAGGGACGCUAAUACCGCAUAAUGUCGUAAGACCAAAGAUUUAUCGCCCAAGGAUGAGCCCGCGUAAGAUUAGCUAGUUGGUGGGGUAAAAGCCUACCAAGGCGACGAUCUUUAGCUGGUCUGAGAGGAUGAUCAGCCACACUGGGACUGAGACACGGCCCAGACUCCUACGGGAGGCAGCAGUGGGGAAUAUUGGACAAUGGGCGAAAGCCUGAUCCAGCAAUGCCGCGUGAGUGAUGAAGGCCCUAGGGUUGUAAAGCUCUUUCGCGCACGACGAUAAUGACGGUAGUGCGAGAAGAAGCUCCGGCUAACUUCGUGCCAGCAGCCGCGGUAU
rnacentral:rRNA from 1 species